rnacentral:rRNA from 1 species
GAAACGCCCGGUCCCAUUCCGAACCCGGAAGCUAAGCCCUUCAGCGCCGAUGGUACUGCACUCGACAGGGUGUGGGAGAGUAGGACACCGCCGAAC